rnacentral:rRNA from 1 species
UACGUAGGGUGCGAGCGUUGUCCGGAAUUAUUGGGCGUAAAGAGCUCGUAGGCGGUGUGUCGCGUCGGCCGUGAAAACCUGCAGCUUAACUGUGGGCUUGCGGUCGAUACGGGCAUCACUGGAGUUCGGCAGGGGAGACUGGAAUUCCUGGUGUAGCGGUGAAAUGCGCAGAUAUCAGGAGGAACACCGGUGGCGAAGGCGGGUCUCUGGCCGAUACUGACGCUGAGGAGCGAAAGCGUGGGGAGCGAACAGG